GAUGAAGAACGUAGCGAAAUGCGAAAAGUAGUGUGAAUUGCAGAAUUCAGUGAAUCAUCGAAUCUUUGAACGCACAUUGCGCCUCGCGGUAUUCUGCGAGGCAUGCCUGUUCGAGCGUCAUUUCAACCCUCAAGCCCCCGGGUUUGGUGUUGGGGAUCGGCUCUGCCUUCUGGCGGUGCCGCCCCCGAAAUACAUUGGCGGUCUCGCUGCAGCCUCCAUUGCGUAGUAGCUAACACCUCGCAACUGGAACGCGGCGCGGCCAUGCCGUAAAACCCCAACUUCUGAAUGUUGACCUCGGAUCAGGUAGGAAUACCCGCUGAACUUAAGCAUAUCAAUAAGCGGAGGA
rnacentral:misc_RNA from 1 species